rnacentral:sRNA from 1 species
UAAGGAAAAGGCAUGGAUCAUCUCCAAGAAAAGAAUUGCCAAAUUGCUGAUAAAUAGAUGAAAAUAUGAAUUCUCAUGGAGGAAAUAUUAUUAAGAUGAGUUUUGGAAUAUGGGUAAAAUGACAGUUGAGGAAGAAGAUGAGGUAGAAAUGAACUACUUGGGCAAAGGCCCAAGUGCAAGAAAAGGCAAGACCUAUUUUGGGGAAUUGGAUAUGAAGAUUGGUUACGGCAUAACUCAGAUAAUGAAGUAAAUGGAGCUCCUGUUUAUGUUGUUCGAAGUGGUGGCCUUGUAAAAACUAGAUCAAAAAACAUUCGGGUGGGUGAUAUUGUUCGAAUAGCCAAAGAUGAAAUUUUUCCUGCAGACUUGGUGCUUCUGUCCUCAGAUCGACUGGAUGGUUCCUGUCACGUUACAACUGCUAGUUUGGAUGGAGAAACUAACCUGAAGACACAUGUGGCAGUUCCAGAAACAGCAUUAUUACAAACAGUUGCCAAUUUGGACACUCUAGUAGCUGUAAUAGAAUGCCAGCAACCAGAAGCAGACUUAUACAGAUUCAUGGGACGAAUGAUCAUAACCCAACAAAUGGAAGAAAUUGUAAGACCUCUGGGGCCGGAGAGUCUUCUGCUUCGUGGAGCCAGAUUAAAAAACACAAAAGAAAUUUUUGGUGUUGCGGUAUACACUGGAAUGGAAACUAAGAUGGCAUUAAAUUACAAGAGCAAAUCACAGAAACGAUCUGCAGUAGAAAA